rnacentral:piRNA from 1 species
UAUGUCACCUGUAUAGCUACC